CGAGUCGGCCGGGCGGUCGCGUUCCGCAAGGGAUGAGGAAAGUCCGGACUCCACAGAGCGUGGUGCUGGCUAACGGCCAGGCGGGGUGACCCGACGGAACAGUGCCACAGAAAGCAUACCGCCUCGAUCCGAGAGGAUGCGGGGUAAGGGUGAAAAGGUGGUGCAAGAGACCACCGGCGGGGCUGGUGACAGCUCCGGCCAGGCAAACCCCACCAGGAGCAAGACCAAGCAGGGGCAAGUUCUCGAGAGGGAACAGGGGGCUGCUCGUCCCCUCUGAGCUCCGGGUAGGUCGCGUCGAGGUGCGCGGCAACUCGCACCCCAGAUAGAUGACCGCCACCCCCGUAAGGGGGACAGAAUCCGGCUUAUCGGCCGGCUCGGGUG
rnacentral:RNase_P_RNA from 1 species